CCUACGGGAGGCAGCAGUGGGGAAUAUUGCACAAUGGGCGCGAGCCUGAACCAGCCAAGUAGCGUGAAGGAUGACUGCCCUACGGGUUGUAAACUUCUUUUAUAAGGGAAUAAAGUGCGGGACGUGUCCCGUUUUGUAUGUACCUUAUGAAUAAGGAUCGGCUAACUCCGUGCCAGCAGCCGCGGUAAUACGGAGGAUCCGAGCGUUAUCCGGAUUUAUUGGGUUUAAAGGGUGAGUAGGCGGCCUUUUAAGUCAGCGGUGAAAGUCUGUGGCUCAACCAUAGAAUUGCCGUUGAAACUGGGAGGCUUGAGUAUGUUUGAGGCAGGCGGAAUGCGUGGUGUAGCGGUGAAAUGCUUAGAUAUCACGCAGAACCCCGAUUGCGAAGGCAGCCUGCCAAGCCAUGACUGACGCUGAUGCACAAAAGCGUGGGGAUCAAACAGGAUUAGAUACCCCGGUAGUC
rnacentral:rRNA from 1 species